GGUGUACAGAAGACCGCAACUGUGAAAGCGCUGUUGGCGCGUGGCAAAAAUUUGUCUCCUUCACAGCUGGCGAAAAAACUCACGUCACCAGUUAAACCCUAUCCAUUAUUGCAGUCCACUUUACCUCCUCCAGCAGCAGAACCCCCAGCCAAACAUUUGACCCCGAUACAGCUUUUCGCUACUGGCAAGUCCGUUCCCACUGCUGAAG